ACGGACACCUGGCAGGGAAGAUACCUUGAUCACGAAGGAGGUUUUCCCAGGGUGAGGCUCAUCCAUUGCACUCCAGGUGUGCUGACCCUUGCGAUUUCCCCAAAUGCGGGAAACUUGACUGCAUAAUUUGUGGUAGCAGAACAAUGGUUGAAAUGCCUUUUUUAA